CUGGAUUACGUGUGGAGAAACAACUGAGAUGGUCUUAAUGCUGGGAGGCGGAAUCUUGCGUUCUGCCAGUCAGAGCCUGUGUGUGACAUGAAAGGCUGUGUGUGCCCCUCUGGGUGGGUCUGUACCACGCAUUAGAACGUUUUUAAUCUUUUUCUGCUUCUGUAGUAGUAAAUGUGGGAAGUUCCGAUGAUACAAUUGGAAAUUUGCAGUCUCCUUGGGUCAGGGACUUCACUAGCGUGCUGAGAUCUAUCAGAGUCCUGUGCAUUGUGGUAUGCGUGCUUUUAUUCUCCAGUAGAGCUGUGUAUUUUUUCGCUGUUGGUUCGUCCCACGGAAUGCGUGUGGCAAUGCUGUGCACUAAUCUCAACUUGCAUUCAUAGACCAGAACGGAGCUCGGUGUGUGAUGUAAAGGCACGUUGGCUGGAUGCAGCGCAGCGGAUAAGCGGCUAAAUAUGAAAUUGCGAAGUCUGUAUUCGGAAUGGGUACUGACUUGCACAGAAGUGUGAAUUUAAAGGAUACAUUGACUGUUGGAGUUACGACUAAAGAGAUGAUAACAUAAUGCAUGUUUUCCUUCAAGAUGCGCUAUUUGACUCAAAGUCUCUAUUAAUGGCAAUCUGUACUGAAGUGUGCAUGGAGUAAUGGAGAUAUAAAUGUUAAUUAUUUUGCCUAGGGAGAAGGUUUUGAUGUUAAGAGAAGAGGUACUUGGAUAUUUGUACUGAAUCAGAGUUCUUUGUGGCUGGGCUGGGAAACCCCUUUAAUACAGCCUGAUAACGGAAACACUGAUGUGUCAUGAGUUUGGGCACUGCAAGCAGACUGCACUGGGAGGUUAUAAAAGUUGCUUCAGUACAGCAUGAGAAUGUGAUGAAGUGGUGACAUAGAAACCACAGCAACAAAGGGCUGGCAAAGAGAAUGUAACUGGUCUCCCAGCUCUGCCUGCUGGAAGCCCACCCUGUAACAAGAGAAAAAGAGAAGGGAUAGAGAAUUCGGAGGAAAGAGGUGGCAGCUUGCAAUGAUUAGGUGUCUGCAGAGUAGGAAGUAGGAAGAGGUGCUCUCUUGUCUGUGCUAAUAGGAGUGAAAAUAGAGACCCCCUACCCCCCCUCCAAAAAGAGAACCUAGAAAACCAGUAAGGAAAGCAUUAAGCAGAAAUAUCAAAGAACUUAAGAAGAAAAUAAGGUAAAAAAGAUGAUUUGAUAUUGGAAAUUGUGAUACAUGUGUAGUUCUUUUGGAUUUUUUUUUUCUUCCUGGAAGUGUUUUCUACCCUAGCACAUACAGUAGAAUAUUGUUGCCAUUGUGACUUCAAUUGCUACUGACUGUUGGCUUUGUAACUAGGUUAAGAGGGCAAGUGUCUCUAAAAUUGUACAUAGCAACUGUAGGUCACUAAUCCUCUCCGCACCC
ensembl:lncRNA